GCUUAGAGUUUGAUCCUGGCUCAGGAUGAACGCUGGCGGCGUGCUUAACACAUGCAAGUCGAACGGACCCUUCGGGGUUAGUGGCGGACGGGUGAGUAACGCGUGAGAAUCUGCCCUUAGGAGGGGGACAACAGUUGGAAACGACUGCUAAUACCCCAUAUGGCGAGAGCUGAAACUAAUUGGCCUAAGGAUGAGCUCGCGACUGAUUAGCUAGUUGGUGGGGUAAGAGCCUACCAAGGCGACGAUCAGUAGCUGGUCUGAGAGGAUGAUCAGCCACACUGGGACUGAGACACGGCCCAGACUCCUACGGGAGGCAGCAGUGGGGAAUUUUCCGCAAUGGGCGAAAGCCUGACGGAGCAACGCCGCGUGCGGGAGGACGGCCCGUGGGUUGUAAACCGCUUUUCUCAGGGAAGAACACAAUGACGGUACCUGAGGAAUCAGCAUCGGCUAACUCCGUGCCAGCAGCCGCGGUAAUACGGGGGAUGCAAGCGUUAUCCGGAAUUAUUGGGCGUAAAGCGUCCGUAGGCGGUUGAGCAAGUCUGCUGUUAAAUCGAGGAGCUUAACUCCGAACAUGCAGUGGAAACUGUUCGACUAGAGUGCGGUAGGGGUUGAGGGAAUUCCCAGUGUAGCGGUGAAAUGCGUAGAUAUUGGGAAGAACACCAGUGGCGAAGGCGCUCAACUGGGCCGCAACUGACGCUGAUGGACGAAAGCUAGGGGAGCGAAAGGGAUUAGAUACCCCUGUAGUCCUAGCCGUAAACGAUGGACACUAGGUGUUGCGCGUAUCGACCCGUGCAGUACCGUAGCCAACGCGUUAAGUGUCCCGCCUGGGGAGUACGCACGCAAGUGUGAAACUCAA
rnacentral:rRNA from 1 species